rnacentral:lncRNA from 1 species
AAACCACGGCCUACCCCAGUAGGAUUUCACCCGACUCUCCACUAAACUUCAAGCAAACAAACUGAUUACAACCUCUAUGUAAUCUACGAAUUAAACUCUUAAUUUCUACUCACCAGCAAUAGCUCCAUUGCUACACACACUUAACAAUAACUCUGCUGGAGAACUCCACUAGCUAACUCUAGCUAGAAACACAACUCAACACAAACUCAACCACAAAACUACUCAUAAAAAUCUCAAAGAUGAGACGUGAGUUUACAAUUAUAAGAUCAAUACAAAAAUCAAUCAUCCUAGAACUACUAACAUAUUUCUUUGUGAGCAAAAUGUUUCUAAAUUGCUGAAUUUUUAUAGUACUAGAUGAGGCUUUUGCUUGAGAAGAUUUUCUUUUAUGAUUUGCAAAAACUUGAACUUCUCUCUUGGUAGAGAAUAUAUAUAUAUAUGAUGAACAUUGGGAGAGAAGUUUCCUCAUUAGUGGAUGCUUGAAAGGACCACUAAAAAUUCGUCUCACUUAUGUGAUGACAUUGUCCAGAAAAGUACUAGACAAUUGGCACAUAAGACAAAUGUGUGCAAUUGUAACACUGCACAUUGGGACAACAAUUCAUAUAACUGGUCCUUUGACUAGGUAGGCAAUCAACGGAAUAUGAAUAACAAUCAAACAUGUACGGAUCAGAUUCCAGUGAUGAAGUUUGUCAAUCAUCAAAACAUGAGCUUAAUAAACAUAAUAAGAACAAGACAGGAACCCAACUAGAAGGAUUUGUUAAGAUUCAUAUCGCGUGGUCAUAACACACUUCAUCAGUGGUGCAUGAGUUCUUUUUUUGAUAAUUAGAAAAAAGGCAUAAUACAUAAACAUGUCCUUCAACUUAGCUUCAAAUCACAUUUAUGACCUCCAACUUUGGGUGUGCACAAGUAGACACUUAAAUUUGUAUAAAGUUGAACAAAUAGACACACAUCCUAUGAGGCAUAAUAUACGUAGGACGCCACAUAGGACAUAUGUGUCUACUUGUUCAACUUUAUUUAAGUUUAAGCGUCUACUUGUAUACACUCAAAGUUGGAGGUCAUAGAAGUGAUCUGAGCCAAGUUAAAGGACAUGUUUAUGUAUUGUGCCUAAAAAAAAGCAUACCUAGUGUACCUAGUAGUGCAUGUGUUUUUUGUCCUUUUGAUGAGUGGACAUUGUUAUAUUUUUCAAAACACAACAACAAAAGCAUGCCUAGUAUAGUCCCAUAAGUGGAGUCUGGGGAGGGUGGGAUGUACCUAAACCUUAUGCCUACCUUCGUGGGGUGGAGGGGUAUUUCUAAUAGACCCUCAGCUUCACAGAACGUGGUUUGAAAGAAAUACUAGAGUAAAAAGCUAUGACGAAAAUAUUGAAAAAAGAAAAGUACUGACAGAAAUAAAAUUGAAGAAUAAAUUAAUGCUAACAUCAUAAUCAUAAUCACGCUGCCGCCGAUGAUCAUAACAAUGAUAACAAUAAUGGUGAUGAUGAUGAGACAACCAUAACAAUGAUAACAAGAAUGAUAACAAUGAUGAUGAUGACGAUGAUGAUGACGGUAACAACGACAAUGAUAACAAGAAUAAUAACAAUGACAAUGAGAAUAACAAUAACAAUAUUGGUAGGGGAACAUGUAGGUGCUCCCGACAAGAACCCUGCUCUACCACUGGGAGAAAAUGCUUAACUGCUUAUUAACCGUCUAUUAUAAUCCUCAAUUUCCAUGCUCACCUAUCUAGGGUCAUGUGCUUGGUGAGCUGAAGAUGUACCAUGUUUUGUUUAAUUACCUCUAUCAACUCUUCCUCUGUCUACCUUUGCCUUUCCUCAAACCUAUGGCCGCCAAUGACACCUCCUGUCUUGGACAUCCCUGAUCCUGUUCACAUGCCCGAACCAUUUCAGCUUGCUUCCCGCAUCUUGUCCAUCACGGAGCUACUCCCAUCUUGCCCUGUAUAUCUUCAUUCCUAAUCUUAUUUCUUCUAGUAUCCCACAUAUCCAUCUAAGCAUAUUUUUCAAGAAAAAAGGGUGAAAAAAAAUUUGGUAGCGAGGAGAAAGAAAUGCUCCCAGGCAUGUAAGCCGAGACUCAACAACCUUAUUUUAUUCUGAUCACAUGAGGUAUUUUCUGGUGAUCUUUGCUAUAGAGGACAGUUUCUCCUUAAUCAUUCCCUAGAGAUUAUUCAGAAACUCAGGUUUGUGGUAAUAUGUGGGAAGAUAGGAUUAACUAUCAUGCUGGUUUUAACUUCUGUGAUAAUACGAAGUCUCGUGCGAGGUUUGAUGGGUCCAACAUAGCAGAAUUUUGAUGAGGAAAGUAACUUUAUGUUUUAAAGUCAUGAAGUGGAUAACAUACGUAUUUAAUACCACAACGAAGGAACAAAGAAUGUUGGUCAGGAGGGGACGAUGAGAUCAUUUUGUAGAGUUCUUAUGCACUCUUAAAUACAACAAAUAUGGAAGGUACAUUAGCUUAGCUCUAGAAGGGGGAAAAAGCUCUGUCAUUAUCACUUCAGAGGUUACAUUAGAGGCAGGUUGGGGAGACAUAGCUCAAAAAAUGCAAGAUUAAAAAAUAUCCCAAAAAUGGAUAAUCAAACACCAUCUGCCAAAAGCCCACAACCUGAAACCUCGUGCAUUGAAACCAUCAGAAGCAAUAAAUGGACGACAAUUUCUCCGAUCAAAGCAAAAAGUUUCAGUUCCAUUGAUAAUGUUCAAUUACACCCAAGAAAAGUGCACACGGUUGUUGUCAAUAUUUGUAAUCCAACUUUGAGGUUGGGGUCUAACCACUGUGGAUGAAUUUGCAAAGUUCGCUUUAGAGUGGAAGUAGCUCACUUAAUGCUUGCACGUAUUAAUUUAAAACAAUAAAAGUAAAUGAGGGUUUUUGUAAACACUUUUGAACGCCUUUGAUUUUAGUCAUUAAGAGAGUUGAAUUGCAAUAAAUAAGAAGUAGUAAUCAAUGAUAAAAGUAACUUUGGAGUGUGUCAUCAUGCGAGUAGUUGCAUACCUGGAUGAGUAAAAAUUUGUUCUUGAAAUCUUGGCUGAACUUUUCUUGCAAACCCUAAGGUUAUGAUGGAACUAACUGGAAUUAUGGGGAAAUUCGUGAGAGAGACUUACCCUGGGGAUGGAGGAUGAGGAGAGGAGAGACAACCAACUUAGACUGAUGGGAAUGACAAAUAAAGUGGAUCAAUCAUAGAAAACAACCUUUUAAUGAACCCUGUCGGCCAAAUGUGUGAACCCAAAUUUUUCUCACAUAAUGGGGAUGCGGCUCGUACAUUUGAAGCUCUUUCUUGUACUUUCCGACAACUUCCUAAAAGUUGCAGGCUCAUUUUGCAAUCGCACUUUUGGCUUGCACCAUUUCCCUAUGCAACCUUUGAGUAAAACGAUCAUAACUUUUUACGCUGAACUUGGAUUAACGAACGAUUAAUGUCGUUGGAAAGAAGACUCGAAGAUAUUUAAUUUUGUAGGAAUUAGGCCACGUCACACUUCAUAUUAUAGGAGAGUGCUCAUUUGAAAUUGAUCCUAGAAAAAACUUAUAUGAAAACUUAAUCCGUAGAGAAGCUUUCAACGCAACUUUGUUCUAUGGGUUUCUUAUGACCUUAUUUCAUAUCCAAUGCUCUUCCACACUAAAGGAUUGAUCUUAGAAAUUUCACCGAGUUCAGGUCUAUUUACAUACUUAAAACGGUUCAAAUCUUAGCCUGAAGGUGUUACAAAAAUAAAGAGGUUUUGACUGAGUAGUCCUUGGCAUUAUUAGAUUGGAAUCUUUUAAUUGGCAUAUCAAAUUGGGUUUUGAUCAAACAAAAAAAGAUAGGAAGAAUUUGGUGACAUCUGAUUGUUGCUUUAACAAAUAGAUCCACGUUACUCUUGUACGAUCAUUGAUGAAUGACAAAAACCAUCUAACAUCAGAAAUAUUAGGAGAGGGAGAAGUCCCCUUGUUUCACUAUGAAUAAGAGAAUGGAGUCUGCAUCUUUUGUUACUAAUUGGAAAGGAAACACGUUUGUGUUUUGCAAUUUCACAAUCAUCACUAUGAAAACAAUCAAAUCUUUGAACAAAUAUAGAAACGUCAUUUUAAUUACAUAAAAGCAUGACUGACCUAUGCAACGAUGAUAAAACUAUACUUUCUCUUUAUUAGACACAUAAUAGAUUUAGACAAGAAUGAACGAGAUAAGGAAUUCUUAGUUGCAUCUUCACCAUUGUGGAAAUCCAGACAAUAAAGACCACCUUUCUCACUAGCAGGCACAAUCAUCUCCUUCGUGUUAUUCCUGAAAUAAACAAUAUGAAGGGAAGAAGAUUACUUGGCACUUGGUGAGUUUCUGGAUAGAAAUGAGAUUUGCAAAUAACUGUGGGACAUGAAUGACAUCUUUAAGUAUCACAAACUUUUCCAGUGGUAUGUUUCCUUGUACAACUACAGUAAUAACUGAACCAUUGGCUAUUGUUAUUUUUUUAUAGUUAGGAAAUAUGACAUAAAGAAAUGAGAGGAACUGGUCAUAUGACCAGUUGUCCCAAAAUCAACCACCCGCAUUGGAGAAAGUUUCUUUGAGACAUUAGUAACAAAAGAGGAAGGAAUACCUGUGAAGGCCAAUGAACAACUACCAGCUGAAGCUGAGGUGACUUGUUGAUUUCUUUCAUCAGUCUGAGGGCUACUACUAGCUAUAUUUGCAUGCUUUCCAUCACUAGUAUUUCUGUUUGGGGGUCUACCAUUGAGUUUUCAGGAUCUCUCUCUGGUGUGCCGAUACUUUUGCAGUAGGUGCAGUAAAAUUGUGACUGAUUGUUUGAAUGAACCCAGGGGUUUGAUCCCGUUGUGAAAUCCCUGAUUCUCUUGAACUUGUCCCAUUUGUUACAAGAGCUGAACCUAUAUUAAUUUGUGUUUCAAGCAUAACAAUCCUCCCUUCUUCUGUCCGUAUAAUGGCCAUUGUCUCGUUCAAUGAUGACAAACCUUCUUUUCCUAAAAUUUGCACUCACACGACAGCAAAUUCUGUAUUUAGUCCUUUUCAAUAAAUCUUUUCAAAAUCACAACAUCAUCUUUACAACCCAUUUGAAUGCAUUGAUAAUGGUUCGUUUCUUUCCAUAACCCCUGAGAAAAGUUAGAAUAUUCAGUGACAGAUCGAGCUCCUUGAUUUAUUGCAGAAAAUUUUGUUUUAUUUCAUAGAUCUAGGCAGCAUCAUGUAUUUCAGAGUGCGUUUCCUUCACUGCAUCCCAAAUUUCCUUAGCAGUGCUUAAAAAUAUGAUGAUAUCACUGAUUUCCAGAAGCAUGGAGUUAACCAAGACUUCACCAUUGCCUCAUGUUCAUACUUCAUCCCAUGCAUCAAAUGUGGUGUCUUCUUAAGAUGGUCUUGUAUCGAUAAGAUUUUGUAAUUUCCUUUCACCCUUUAAAAAGGUACAAACUAAUUGAGCCCAUUUUAGGUAAUUUUUUCCAUUAAACUGAUAAGAGGCUUGAAUGUUUUGCAAAUCUCCAGUUGAAUCUGUAGAGUUGUUCUCUAUGGUUGCUGAAACAUUUCAAGAGGCUGGAAUAUUUGCAGCAAUACCCUUUUCGAACAUGGUUUUUGGAUGGUUUCAACCUUUAGGGGAUAAGGAUUAAAAAAAGACAGCCCGGAGCACUAAAGCUCCCGCUAUGCGCAGGGUCCGGAGAAGGGCCUCACCACAAGGGUGUAUUACGCACCCUUACCUUACAUUUCUGUCAGAGGCGAAAUGCAAGGUAAAGAUAGCAAAAGGGAUUUUUCAAGACUGGAUGAAUAAAAUAAAAUUGGUCAGGGGUAAGUUUAAAGCUUUGAUACCUUGUGGGAAAAGAUAGUUGAAUAAUUUCAUUCAUACAUUUCUAUGUCAUAUAAAUGGAUUUGUAUACAAAAGAGAUUGUUGAACAGAUUCACCUAAAUCCCAUGAGAUAUGAGAUUAUACGGAAUCAUAUAUUUUACACAAAGAGAAAGAAUCAUAGAUAUGACAUUUUGGAUUACAACAAUUAUCUUAAGAUCUUAGAGGAUCAGAUCUUUGAUACAAAGAAUAUUUUCCCGGAAUCCUCUGUCACCCAACACCCAACAGAAGGUACAGAUCCCAUACAAAGUGCCUUGUUUUGUUUGACUAGUAGCAAAGAAGACUUGUUUUAACUUAAGAAAAUCUGAGGAAAAAGAGAAUACAAGUUUGUUUUAUGUGCCACUUGUGCGGGGAGAAUGCAUAAACAAAUAGCCAUCUGUUUCUAUAUUGCAAAGUGACUGCACAGAUAUCUUUCUAGCUAUGAUAGGCCUGAGUUGGACAAUGUUAAUGAGAACUCUGGGAUUGCUGUCCAGUUGGCACAAAUCUAAAGAUUUCUUAUUCAUCUAUAAGAUUCUACAUCUCUGUUCACAAAGAAUAUAUAAUUAGUAUAAUCAUACAAGAUAUAACCUUUCUGAGUACUAGAGUACCCCAUAUGAAUUGCAAGUGUAGCUCUAGAUUUGAAUUUAUCGGUCUCAGAAACAGUUUUUGCAAAUUCUAGACAUCCUAACACUCUAAUGUGAUCAACAAAAGGUUUAGUACCAUAUACCAUUUCAAAUGGAGUUUUAUUGUGUAGCACAGAAGAAGGUAACCUAUUAAUAAUGUAAGCUGAGGCUAAAUCACAAUGUCCCCAAAUUUUAAUGGGAAUAUGACCUUGAAACCUUAUGGCUCUUCACACUUCUAAGAUGUGCUUAUGCUUUCUCUGAGCAACAAUAUUUUGCUGAGGUGUAUAAGCACAAGAAGUUUGAUGUAUUAUGCCUAAAGUUUAAGUUUAAAGAGUCACAUGCCGAGUAACAAAUUCAGUACCAUUAUCACUUCUUAUACAUUUCACUUUCUUAUUAAAUUGUGUCCCGAUAUAAGUACGGAAUUGCUUUAACAUAACACAUGCAUCAGUUUGACAAAAAUAACCAAGUCAUUUUAGUAAAAUCAUCCAUAAUUGUCAAGAAGUAUUUAUUUCCAUCAUAUGUAACAUGUUUAUAGGGGCCCCGCACAUCAAGAUGCAGUAAAUCAAAACGACUAUUACUCCUAGAGUUACUAGACUAAAAAACUAACGUAACUUGUUUUGCACAAGCGCAAAUGGUGCAGUUUUUUUAUGAUAGAAGAACAUUUAUCUAAGCCUACUGAUAAGAGGCUGUUUAGAGUCUUAGAAGAAGGGUGCCUAAGCCUUCUAUGCCUUAAGCGAUAUCAGUAGUACUGUUAUUAACAGACAAAGAAAAUCUAGGAACUAGAGAUCAACAUUCUGCAAAUUGCUUAGUAAAUGAAGGUGUAGUAGGCAACAAGUAUAGUCCUUCCUUUAGUCUACCAAUCGCUUUCACCUUCCCAUUGUAGAGAUCCUGAAAUAGGCAAAAGUCAAGAUAGAAAACAACUAAACACUGCAAAGCUUUUGUGACCUGUGAAACUGAAAGUAAGUUAAACUUAAACUGGGGAAUUAGCAAUACAUUUUCUAGUUUUUAUCCAUCUGUCAAUAAGCUAGAUCCAACAUGAGUUAUAUAAGCUACCUCUCCAGUUAGUAAGAAUACUUUUCUACAAGUACUUUGAGGUAGUGCUAAGGAUUCAGUUAACAAGUUGUUAUCAGCUACCAUGUGAUUGGUAGCACCUGUAUCAAUAAUCCAAUUAUGUGUCAUCAGCUGUGAUUAGAGCAGUGUCAAUACCUGAUGCAUUACCUACUGAGUUAGCCAUAGCUGUAAUUUGUGCACCAUUUAGCAGAUGUAUAAUUUGAUCAUAUUGAUUUUUGGUGAAAUGGAAUGGUUGUGCCAUCUGAUCACUUGAGCCUGAAUCACUUGACGUAGGUGUUUUUCCUUUUUCAUGAUGAUCUGAUCCUGUGUUCUGAUGAUGCACUUAUCCUUGACAUUCAACCAUCACAUUAUAGGCAUUAGUUGUAGGUACUCCCCUUUUCUUCUUGAACUUAUCAGAGGGAUAACCAAUCAACUUGUAACAAUUAUCUCUUCUGUGAUUCCUUAGUUUACUGAAAUCACAAAACAAAUUCUUACUAUCACUGUUUGAACUACUGCUUCCAAUUCUAUUCGUGUGAACCUUCUUGAAUUUCUGACUAUUAUGAAAGUUUCAUGUAGUCCUGGUACUGUACAGAGUAGUAGGUUCAUAACCAAUAGGUGGAGCUCCAAGAACACUAGAUGUUGCAGCCAGCGCUCUUUGAUUCUCAUCAUUCAUAAUCAUAGAGUAGGUUUGAUUAACACUAGAUAGAGGAGAUAUAAGUAAAACUUAGACUCCUAACUUGAACAUAAGAAUCAUUUAGCCCCAUUAAGAACUGAUAAAGUUUCUACCUCUAUAGAUGAAUCAAGAAAUCCUUGGAUUUUUCACAGUUACAACCAGUUAACAAUUAUAGCUACAACUAAUUGUGUAUGAUUAAGUUUUGAGCAAUAAAGAAACUCUCUCAUUCCUUCUCUAUCGUUCUUGUUCUUCUCCAGUCAUCUAUGUCUUCUCAAUUCUUUGAUUGCAACGUGGUAUCAGAGCCUUGAAGCUCUGUGAUUCAUAUCUGCUUUCUCGAUUUUGUUGUUCUCUUGAAUUGCUUCUUACCCUGUUUCUGAGAUUUAUUCUCAAACAAGCUUCCAUGAUUCACUAAAGAUUAAAGUUCUUUACAUAUUGUUUUAAUGGCUGCCAAUGGAGUCAAUGCGCAGGAAUCUUCUGUAAAUAAAGUUGAUUCUGCAGCUGAAGAUCCUUUUGGAGUAGGGGUACAGAUUGAAGCAUCUCAUCCACUAUACCUUGCACCCGGUGCUACAAGUGUUAUUUGUCUUAUCUCCUUUCAAUUGUCUGGUACUAAUAACUACUCUCUUUGGAGUAGAUUCAUGAGAAUAGCAUUGUUAGGUAGAAAUAAGUGGGGCCUGGUUGAUGGUUCUUGGAUGGUUCUUGGAGCAAAGAUAAGUUUCAUGAAAAAUUUGGUUAUCAAUGGGAGAGGUGUAAUGCUAUUGUCUUAUCUUGGUUGAUAACUUCAAUUUGCAAAAGUCUAGUGAGUAGUAUAGCCUAUGCUGUCAAUGCUUUUGAUGUUUGGAUUGAUCUUAAAGAAAGAUUUGAUAAAAUUGAUGGUUCUAGGCAGUUUAACACACAGAGAGUAAUAGCACAAUAGGUCAGGGCACUUCCUCCAUUUCUGUGUAUUUUUCAAGGCUUAAGGAGUUGUGGACUGACUCUAAGAGUUUCGUACCUUUACCUGGUUGUAGCUGUGAAAAAUCCAAGGAUUUCUUGAUUCAUCUAUAGAGGUAGAAACUUUAUCAGUUCUUAAUGGGGCUAAAUGAUUCUUAUGUUCAAGCUAGGAGUCUAAGUCUUGCUUAUGUAUCCUCUAUCUAGUGUUAAUCAAGCCUACUCUAUGAUUAUGAGUGAUGAGAAUCAAAGAGCGUUGGCUGCAACAUCUAGUGUGCUUACUACCACUGCUUGAACUACUGCUGCUUCCAACUCUAUU